rnacentral:rRNA from 1 species
CCGGAAUGACUGGGCGUAAAGGGCGCGUAGGCGGCCGAAUAAGUCUGGAGUGAAAGUCCUGCUUUCAAGGUGGGAAUUGCUUUGGAGACUGUCCGGCUUGAGUGCGGAAGAGGUAAGUGGAAUUCCCAGUGCAGCGGUGAAAUGCGUAGAGAUUGGGAGGAACACCAGUGGCGAAGGCGACUUACUGGGCCGUAACUGACGCUGAGGCGCGAAAGCGUGGGGAGCGAACAGGAUUAGAUACCCUGGUAGUCCACGCGGUAAACGAUGAAUGCUAGGUGUAGGGGGUAUCGACCCCUCCUGUGCCGCAGUAAACACAAUAAGCAUUCCGCCUGGGGAGUACGGCCGCAAGGUUGAAACUCGAAGGAAUUGACGGGGGCCCGCACAAGCAGCGGAGCAUGUGGUUUAAUUCGACGCAACGCGAAGAACCUUACCAGGUCUUGACAUCAAUGUAAGCCGUUAGAGAUAGCGGUGGUCUUCGGACAACAGAAGACAGGUGGUGCAUGGUUGUCGUCAGCUCGUGUCGUGAGAUGUUGGGUUAAGUCCCGCAACGAGCGCAACCCUUAUUGUCAGUUACUAACACGUAGAGGUGAGGACUCUGACGAGACUGCCGGGGACAACUCGGAGGAAGGUGGGGACGACGUCAAAUCAUCAUGCCCCUUAUGACCUGGGCUACACACGUGCUACAAUGGCGACUACAAAGAGGAGCGAACACGUAAGUGCGAGCGGAUCUCAAAAAAGUCGUCUCAGUUCGGAUCGUGGGCUGCAACCCGCCCACGUGAAGUCAGAGUUGCUAGUAAUCGCGGAUCAGC